rnacentral:rRNA from 1 species
AGCGAACGCUGGCGGCAGGCCUAACACAUGCAAGUCGAACGGAUCCUUCGGGAUUAGUGGCGGACGGGUGAGUAACACGUGGGAAUGUGCCCUUUGGUUCGGAACAACUCAGGGAAACUUGAGCUAAUACCGGAUGUGCCCUUCGGGGGAAAGAUUUAUCGCCAUUGGAGCGGCCCGCGUCUGAUUAGCUAGUUGGAGAGGUAAAGGCUCACCAAGGCGACGAUCAGUAGCUGGUCUGAGAGGAUGAUCAGCCACAUUGGGACUGAGACACGGCCCAAACUCCUACGGGAGGCAGCAGUGGGGAAUCUUGCGCAAUGGGCGAAAGCCUGACGCAGCCAUGCCGCGUGAAUGAUGAAGGUCUUAGGAUUGUAAAAUUCUUUCACCGGGGACGAUAAUGACGGUACCCGCAGAAGAAGUCCCGGCUAACUCCGUGCCAGCAGCCGCGGUAA